UGGCGUUAGAAACUUCCUCUACUUUUCUAAAAAGUAGAAAAGGAGCCAAACCUUCCUCACACCCUGUCGGCACAGCAUCCACAUUUUCGGGACAGAUAUUCAACGGAUAGAGACAGCAGAGGUUUCUGCGGAAGCAUUUCUUCAUGUCAUUCAGAGUCUGGCAGGGCUUUGAAAGCCUUAUGACCUCCCGCGCGGAAGAAGGGCAGGGAUUGAGAAGCCAAGUUACUCAGGAUUUAAAAACGUUGGCAUUUACUGUGUUGUUGUUUCUAGGUAGUUCUGCAGGCAGAAAUUCAACGCAUGUGGCCUUUCCCUGUUCAUAGAGAUGUAAAAAGCUGCACUGUUGAAUUUUUACCUGCUUUGCCGACUUUCAAAGAGCAAAUUGGUUCUCGGACGGACGAACAACACAGGAUAUGAAAAACGAGAGUAUAUUUCUAAUCAUGAGAUUCGUAGAUUCAUUAUUCCGUAUCAACCCGUUUCAGUUUUGCCAGGGCACGAGGUCAAACGUGUACUUUUGUGUGUUAAAGGACCUAUACACCAGCCCUCUUCAUUUAUGUGGCCAAAUACACACUUUCCUUUUCUGUUCAGUUUUUUAAGCUGCCCACUUAUUUAUUUACCGAAAUUUAUAUACUGUACUGCUUUAUAGAUGCGUUACAUAACUGGUUACAAGCUCGUUCCCGUCGGCCUAACGAAUCAUACCGUUUGCUUAAGAAGUGAGAUGUGCUUUAAAUUCUCCCAGUUGUGUAGCACGACUUGGGAGCAAGACGGGGGAGCACUGAAUUUCCAAAACUUUAUUAUAUACCGUAAUUAAAAAACAACAACAAUUCAACACUGAAUGAGGGCGCAGGCCCAUCCAACGAGCAGAAACCAUUGUGGGAGAACUGUCACGAUAACUUUAAAACCUGCAACGAAAUGGGGCCGUGUAACCCGGUUCUAUUUUAUCUGAGGUUGGUUUCCGCGCAGUCCCUGCGUCUAGGACUCUUUCCCCGCUAGUGGAGGAGUCUUGCAGAACGUCAAUCGAAAACCGGAAGCUUAAGUCGCUUUCCCCCCUAUCCCUUCGGCUUCCGCCCUCAUCACUGGCCGUACGCCAUUGGUUGAGAGGGCGGGAUUUAUGUACACUAUGGGCUGUUAUUCAACCGUCAGUGAGUCAAUCAAGCGACUUUGUCAGUUACCGAAGUAGCAGCAAGUUUGUAUGCGGCCUUUAAAUUAGGUGCGGGGAGGCCCCAGCGGCGGCGGCGGCGGCGGCGGCCAGCAGUUGCUCGAGGGGGAAUAGGUUUGGGAUUGCGUGCGCAUAAAUGGCUGCUGAGCUUAAACAGGCGGCUGGUCUGGAGACGCUGCUAGGGAGCCUGUGCGCGUGAAAACAUGCGUGGCCGUUACUGCCCCCGUCGCCGUCCGCCUCCUGCGCAGAAGGGUGCGGGGAGGGGGCGCUCUUCUCGGCCAACGGCUGCGACCCCCGCCCUGCUUUCCUCCCGCCUUCCCUUGGGCCGGGUCUGGGGCGUGGUUCUUCUGGCACCAACGAAUAAUAAUGGCUUCCCUUGCGCGGUGCGUGUGCGCGCGAGGAGAGAGAGAGGGGGGAGUGGGCCGGGGCUUGGAGCCGAGCCCGCCGGGACGCCUCUGAGGGGGCGGUUCGCGAAGCGGCGGCGGGGCGUCCCCUGCUAAGCCUGCGCGCGGCCGCCUUGGGCGCAGUGGCUCCGCUUCCUCGGCGGCGACAGCGGCUCUUCCCCCGAGUCCCUCUCAGCGAGGGCGAACCGUUAAAUUGCCGCCUCGGAGGAGCGACCCGCCGUAAUUGGCCGCGGGAGGGGCGAGGGGACGACUUCCAGAAAGCCAGCCCGGGCUCGCGGCUCCGUGGGCAGGCGCCUUCCCCUUUCCUAGGAAGUGGGGUCAGGGAGCAGCAAGCCCCGCAUUAGGCCUCCGCACUCCCCCCCCCCCCUCACAAAAAAAGCGACUCCCAAGUUAAUGUGUUUCUUCAGCCCGAAGCAGAAAGCAGCCUUUCCGUGUGCGUGGAAGCCUCUGGCUCCAGGGAGAACGUGUGACAGAGACCGCUUCGGGAGGGCUUCCUCCAUUUUCCUUGCUGAUUACCUUUCCUGAGAAUAGACACGUGUUAGGGUGGAGAGCGGCGAGCCUGGGCUGUGAAAAACAGGGCAGCGCAAAUACAGUAUAAACGUUUCCUGGCGCUUACGGGAGAAAAACAACAAACGCCAUACUCUCUCACACACACAUACCCUAACUAACGCACUUUCACGAGUCUUCAGCUCCCCUCAGUACACCCGGAAGGAAGAAAAUGCAAAAUGCAAAGUUGAAAUGUUUUGCUUUGCUUCCCCCAAGGACCGCUCUGGGAGACUUCUCGUAUUAAUAAUUCUGUAUUUAUCUAAACUCGUCUGUCGAAAGAGUGUAUGUCAGUAGUUUUACAUAAUGGAAACAUAGGCGUUUUCAAAAUUGCCCAAUUUCCUAAAAUAUCAAACACAGUCUAAUACUGUAUACCCUUACCUGAAAGUCAGCCCUGUCUUUCUUCUGAGCAACCUAACUAGAAUUUCCCUAUUACACUAUAAUAGCUGUGUGCUACAUUCUUGUCGGAUGAAAAUUGUCCUUGUGAGAGUGAGCUGGGAAAUAAUAACUUUGUCUCCAAGUACUUUUAGAUACAGUUACUAGUGUAAUGCCUUGUUUUUGUGAUGUUCAGGUAAGAAAGAAUUUCAUCCAAUGAAUUUUUAUGAGCUGCUGUAGAGUUCUUGAAAUUGACUUAAAUGUAGACCAAAGGCAAAUAGUCUUUACCCUAGUUCUUUAUUUUCCAGCUGCACAUAGUACUGCCACACCUCAUAAUAGUAUUGUGAAGACUUGCAUGUUGAAGAAGUAUUAUGUUUCCAUACUGUAUAGUUUCAUUUGUGAAAUCCUUUGAAAAUACUUGGUCAUUUUUUCUUCUCAUAUUUGCAUAUUGUAUUUUUCCUCGGUUUUAAUUGCUUUGGUGAAAAUGGGAGUGGUGCUUCUCCUGAAAAUUGAAUUGACUCUGUAUUUCUGCUGAGCCAUACCACCGCCAUUGUGUUAUGCUGUACCACAUUAAUUUAUAAAGCCUGUCAUUAAUUUUGGAAUGUAAGGACUUCAUUCACCAAUGUUCUGGAAAUGUGAAGUUUGGAAGAGCUGUAGGCACCACCUUGUCUGCUUGUUUCUCUUCUCCCUUGGUUCACUGUCCCCCCCCCCCAACACACAGAGCACAUGCACACACACAGCUUUACCAAGGGUCUGGGUAAAAACUGCAUCCAGUAAAACUGAAAUGGAUCUUCUUGAAUUUGCAUAAUUUUACAUGGCACUCUGCCAUCAUAUUGUUUUAGGAUUGUGGUGUUGAUCCAGAUAUCAUCCUUGGACAGUGGUUUUAUAUAUGAAACUAUAGCAGAAGGAACCGUUGACAUGGUGAAACCAGUCUCUGUUAAGGGCUGGCCCUAACAGAAACUAUUAAGUGUAUCUGUGCAUGACUAUGGAGUUUGCAAAGUACAGGUGCCAUGGACAUGAUAAGCUAGUGUGGCAUAGUGGUUAGAGUGUCGCACUAGGACAGGCUUCCUCAAACUUGGCCUUCCAGAUGUUUGGAGACUACAAUUCCCAUCAUCCCUGAACACUGGUUCUGCUAGCUAGGGAUCAUGGGAGUUGUAGCCCAAAAACAUCUGGAGGUCCGAGUUUGAUGAAGCCUGGACUAGGACCUCAGAGACCAGUGUUAAAAUCCCCACGUGGCUAGUUACUGGGUGACCUUCAGCCAGUCAUUGUCUAACAUACCUCACAGGAUUGUUUUGGAGAUUAAAUGGGGGGGGGAACCAUGUACACCAAAUUGAAAUCAUUGGAGAAGAAGUGGCAUAUGAAUGCAAUAAAUAAUAAAUUAACUAGUGAUGCUUCUAGAAGGGGGCAUUCUUCCCCAUGUCUUCAGUGACAGAGCUGCAUGCUCUGGCACCGGGGACUGAGAACAGGUGGGGGCGUAGCUGGUCACAUCCCAGGGGGCAUGGUGCGUUUCCCGGGGGUGUGGCAUGGCGCCUGCAGGGGCGUGGUGCGCCGCACACAGGGGCAUGGCGCCCACCACGGGGGUGCGCAGCACGCACCCCAGCAGUGCGCAGCACAAGUCAGGGAGGCGGCUGUGAUGGCACCCCACCCCGGAUAGUAUCCAGAGUGGACCACUCCCCUGCCCCCCUUCCUCUGCCAUUGCAUAUCUGGAGAUGUUGACUGGUGGGUGUAAGAGAACAACAGAACAGGAUUCAGUCCAGUCUCUAUGGAGCUGGGGAACACAAACUUGACUUGCUCUCUGUGCUGAAUCCAGGACUAUAGGAAGGGUGCUAGAACGUUCGGAGUCUCACUGCUCAGAUUGGGGUGCCCACAACAAUAUUAAAGCUUACAUUGGUAUAUUGCACGGGGCGGGGGACAAAUCUAUUGGAAAGCAACGAAACCACCAACAAAUCACAGGACCCAUCUUUCCUGUCUCCUCCACCACUCUCUUUUCCUCCCCUCAGUCUCCCAGAUUAUUAUUUUUUCUCUCCUACCCUCUCUUAGCAGUCCAUUGCUGUGCAGCUAAUGUGACCUUGAAAAGCAGAGCUGAAAGAGGACAUGGAAAAAUGCACCCACUCUUCUCUUGGUCUUUUUGCCCUAUGUACUUUUCAAAGGGGAAAAUUGUAAUCACCCUCACCAUCUUAUGUCAAAGGAGGCAGUGGGGUGGGGGGCUCAGAAUCUUUGUAGAUGCCAAAGGAUGUUCUGGUCAAAUUAAUGGAUAAUUAAAGGGCUUUUGUAGCAUGAAGUACUUUCCAUGAACUUUGGCCUAUCAGCUGCACCGCUUCUUGGAAAGAGAUGACCUUGCCACAGUUACUAAUACUCUGACUGCAUCUAGGUUGAAUUUACAUAUGGGGCUUCCCUUAAACUUCCCUGUAAACUUCAGCUGUUUCAGAACACAGCAGGUUGUUAACCUGAUUAUACUGAGAGAUUUGCAUUGGCUGCCACUUUGUGUCUGGCUGCUUGAUUGAAGCUAUACGCUCAAAAACUCUUGGGAUGCGGUAUCUGAAGAACCACUUGCUCCCAUAACAUUCUUCUUCUCCUCAGAAACCCUCCUCCAACUGACCUUCGGAGGCAAGGCAACUGGGGAGAUGGCCUUUGAAACUGUGUGCCUCUCUUACUCAGGGAUGGUUUCCAGACAUUUAGAUGCUUCGCAAAUAUUGGUUCCUGACACCCAUCUGUAAUAUAGGAUGUAUAGUGUGUGUGUGGCUUCCAAUAUAUGUACUGAAAGAUCACCUUUGACACCAGGGAAGUGCUUUCACUUAAAGCAAUUUAGACGUUGACAUGUAAUAUUUUAAUUCUAAUUAUAUUUAAGUGUUUUGAAUUGUGUUAACUGAUUCUUGUUAUUAUAUAUUUAUAUCCUGUAUUUUCCCCUGUCAGGGAGUCAAGGUGGUUUACAGAUAAAAUAUGAACCGCUAAAAAUGGGGAGGGGGGUAAUUAAAACACUUUUUUCAUUGAAAAUUUUAAUAUUGUCAAAUUUGGAGGUUUUACUACAAUUAAGUGGUAAAAAUAUUUUGCUAAAUAAAUAAAUUGAAAAUACAAUUUUGAGGUAUGUUCACUAUCUGACCAACUGGUAUAUACUUUCAAAAUCAGUUUCAUCACAUGGAAAGCCAUAAAUGAAGGCUGGGGGUUUUGACGAACAUAUUAUUGCAGGUGAUGGGCUCUAAAUAAGUACAGUUUCACUGUCAUAUAUAAUUUCCAGUUGGUGAAAUAGGAGAGAACUGAUUUCACUAAGUCUUCAUAAAUGAAAGUACUGUAUAUUCACAAUUGAUGGAUGGGCAUCCAGUAUACAGUCAUCAAUAAACUUUCCGUAGUAAACACAGUACUAAAGGAAAGCAGAAACCAUCCCUUUAUAUUUGUCAUCCCUGGCCAAUCAGCAACUUAAUAGAUGCUAGAAUUUUUGAAUAGCAUGUUGGACUAGUAGACCUUGGUCUGAUUCAGGAAAGCACAACUUCCAGUUACCUUCACCUCCAUUUAUUUGUUUUGUUAGUUACUCAACACAGGACAGUCUCUAAGUGAUGUACAGACAACUUUUAAAAUAUACAGAAUUGUUAAUAACUGUAAAGAUGUAAACAUUCUAAUCAAUACAUAAAACACCAGCUUCCCAAGAAGUGGGGCAGCAGCCAAGACCAGUGCUCUUAUAAAACUCUUUAGGAAGGAGGUCAUUUAAUACAGGAAAGCUAUGCCUCAUUAAGAGAUGCUGUACUGUACAGCAUACCUUCUAGUUUGUCAAUUUGUAUAAGUGGAAUUAGACAAGACUGAAGUUAUCACACACCUGAGAUAUGUCUUUAAGGCUCACCCAUGCAUAAGUUCUGUUGCACUCAGUGGGGAAUGCUUUUGAGUAAACAUGUAUAGGAUUGUACUGUAAAUCUUGUGUAUUAUUUUGACAAUUUCUUAAUGGAAGAAAUGUUAUAAAUAUAUGUUAAAUAGUUGCCAAUGCAGCCUUAUGCAUGUUUACUUGCACGUAUCCUGUUUUUUACAUAUAGAAAUUAAAUGCUUCAUAUUUUCUGCUUUAAGCCACCUUGUGAGCCCAAUUUAGAUUUAAAGACAGGUCAAAUUUUUAAAAAUAAAUAAGUUUUUUGUUUUCUAUCAUUGUUUACAAAUCUAGGAUAUUAAGAUAAAACCCUGCUAAUUUUUAAUUCCUUUAAAAUGACCCCAAAGCUGACAAAAAUUAAAUAAAUUUCAGAAGAAAAUCUACCUAAGGGAUUGUUCCAACAAUUGUGGAUUAGCCACUAAUAAUGUUUCACUGGGUGCCUUUCUUAUACAUAGGCUACACAAAUGGCUAAGCUAAAGGGUGCUCAUUGUUAUUUUAAGUCAUGAUAGGGAAGGAGGUAGUCACUUUAAUGUACAAGGGGUUAUAGGUUAAUCUCAAUAGCUUGUAUUAUUCCAGGACAGUUGGAGAUCUGCAAAUACAAAUACUUAACAUAAGCUCAGAAGGAACACUUUCUUGGUGAUUCAUUCUGACCAACAGCACAACAUCCGGAGAGUGCAAACUGCAGGAUAAAAAUCACCAGUAAAAGGCGCGUGAUUGACCCUCACCACACCACCUUCCCCUCUGCAGCUCUGCUACCACUAGCUAGGAUUUCUAUAAUAAGUUAACCAUACUGCACAAGUUUUUCUCCAGCUGCACUUAACAACCUGAAUGAAGAGUUUAAACAAGAGACUUGAAGAUAUCACUACCUGCAGUAGUUAACAGUAAUAACCAGCAUAUUUCAAGACUUCCUGUAUUUUUCCUUUAUCCUGCAAAUGUACAAUACUAAUUUGAUCAUCUCUUUAGUUUUCCAGAUCUUACCUCACCAUUCCCUAGUUGUGAGUCAAUUGUUCACCAUUUCAAAGUCGCUAAGAUUUUGCUCUUUUGAAAAGAUUCCAGAAUCAGAUUUUGUGCCCAAUACUAAAUGAGUUACCAUUUACCCACAAAACAUUGAUGUUUAAAUGAAAUGUAAUUUAUCAUCUGAAUAGCAUAAAUGUUUGUCACUCAAAUCUCUCUUUAGGCAUAUUCACCAUGCAUAAUCUCAGGUUAUUACAAUGCCAACAAUCAUCCUGGCCAUCUUUAUUUCACUGUAAAAUAGUAAAAUUCCAUUACCUGACCAGAGUUUCUUGAGACUAAUAAUAGGAAAUGCUGCUGGGCAUAGUAAAAAACAAAGAAACGCAAAACCACUUCUGUUCAUUCUCUGUUGUUACCUUCCCAGUGACUUUUCCCAGAUAAUUUCCUAACUUGGUUUUUAGAUCUAUUAAGAGACAGUAUGUUUUUGUCACAUUCAUAUUGACUAAUUCAUAUUAGUUUAUUAAAAAUGUUCUCACACUAAUCUUAAAAGUUUCAUUUCUUUUGUUCAUCCUGGAUGGAAAAUAUUGGAACCACAGAUUAUCAUUGUUACCUAUCCUAAUUUUAUUCCUGCUGACUUCUAGAAUGUUUAAAAUUUCCUCCCAGGAUUUUGUUAUCUGAAUUAUUUCUGCUAUUGUGAAAAAAUGCCAUCUUACUUGUUUGUAAUCCUAUGUACAUUUAACUAGUGAGAAACAGUCUUGUUACUUAUGAGUAAACAAGAUUACUCCGCUCUCCAGUGCCUUGAUGUGAAAUGACAAUGAAAGGUUGACAUCACUAAAAUCUUUAUAUGAUCAGACACAGACUGAAUUUCUAUUUCUGUAUUAUCUUUUGUCAUUUAAAGUCAUCAGAAUCUUGUCUGUUGUUAAAUAAUUUUGAUGUGGUGCAGAAUAAAACAUAAAAUGGUUUGAAUAUCUUAAA